CCCUGGCGGCAUCUUACCAUGCAGUCAACGGUACGGGCCUUCGGGUGCCGACGAGUGGCGGACGGGUGAUACCGUAAGAAUCUGCCUGGUAGUGGGGGACAACUUAGGGAAACUUAAGCUAAUACCGCAUACGCCCUACGGGGGAAAGCGGGGGAUCUUCGGACCUCGCGCUAUCAGAUGAGCCUGCGUUGGAUUAGCUAGUUUGUAGGGUAAAGGCCUACCAAGGCGACGGUCCAUAGCUUGUCUGAGAGGACGAUCAGCCACACUGGGACUGAGACACGGCCCAGACUCCUACGGGAGGCAGCAGUGGGGAAUAUUGGGCAAUGGGCGAAAGCCUGACCCAGCAACGCCGCGUGAAGGAUGAAAUCCCUCGGGAUGUAACUUCGCAAGAAUAGGAAGAAUGAGUAGGGGCUAAUACUCCCUACGAUGACGGUACUAUUUGUAAGCUCCGGCUAACUUCGUGCCAGCAGCCGCGGUAAUACGGGGGGAGCAAGCGUUGUUCGGAUUUACUGGGCGUAAAGGGCGCGUAGGCGGCCAGCACAAGUCAGUUGUGAAAUCUCCGGGCUUAACUCGGAAAGGUCAACUGAUACUGUGCGGCUAGAGUGCAGAAGGG
rnacentral:rRNA from 1 species